UACAGAGGUCCCAAGCGUUGUUCGGAUUCACUGGGCGUAAAGGGUGCGUAGGCGGUCGAGUAAGUCUGACGUGAAAUCUCCGGGCCUAACCCGGAAACUGCGUUGGAAACUACUUGGCUAGAGGAAUGGAGGGGAGACUGGAAUACUUGGUGUAGCAGUGAAAUGCGUAGAUAUCAAGUGGAACACCAGUGGCGAAGGCGAGUCCCUGGACACUUCCUGACGCUGAGGCACGAAAGCUAGGGGAGCAAACAGG
rnacentral:rRNA from 1 species